GGGCUUGACAUCCCACGAACCUGGGGGAAACUUCGGGGUGCCCGCAAGGGAGCGCGGAGACAGGUGGUGCAUGGCUGUCGUCAGCUCGUGUCGUGAGAUGUUGGGUUAAGUCCCGCAACGAGCGCAACCCUUGUCCCUAGUUGCUAGCAGGUAGAGCUGAGCACCCUGGGGAGACUGUCGGCGAAAAGCCGGAGGAAGGUGGGGAUGACGUCAAGUCCUCAUGGCCUUUAUGCCCCGGGCUACACACGUACUACAAUGGCCGGUACAAAGGGCAGCCAACCCGCGAGGGAGAGCGAAUCCCAAAAAAGCGGCCUCAGUUCGGAUUGCAGUCUGCAACUCGACUGCAUGAAGGUGGAAUCGCUAGUAAUCGCAGAUCAGCAAGCUGCGGUGAAUACGUUCCCGGGCCUUGUACACACCGCCCGUCACAUCACGAAAGUGGGCUGUACUCGAAGUCGCUGAG
rnacentral:rRNA from 1 species